rnacentral:lncRNA from 1 species
CCCUUUCCUAUCCUCCGGAUCAACUUGAAAAAACGCAAUCAAACAAAACGAAACUCCCUCCAUUUGCUUCAUCUCCCAAGAAUUGAUCUCCGUCUCGAAACCAAACCCUAACCUUCCUUGUUUUCCUCUUAUUUUGGAAACCCGAAAAACCCUAACCUUCCUUGUCUUCCUCUCAUUUAGGAAAAUCGAAAAACCCUAACCUAUUCCUCUCAUUCCGAAACCUCUCCACCUCGUUUUCCUCUGAUUCUAGAAACCCGAAAAACCCUAAUAAUAAUGAAGCAGCUUCAUAGGGUUAGAAUGUACAAGAGACUCAAAGAGUGCGCAACGCCCGGUUCCAUUGCGAAUCUCGAUCUUUCUCUCCAUAUCUGGCCGGCGGCGAUCUCUCAUAAUCUGAGGUCAAUCAAUCGUAUUUUCAGUCUAGGGUUUUCGGAAUUCGGUUAUAGUAUGUUGAAUUCUCUUCGUUUUGAUUGGCGUUCAAGAAAGUGGGGAUCUUUGUUUGGUUCUCUUCAUAGCAGAGGAAAGAAAGAGAAAAUAGAUUUCUUUGGAAUAUUACAAUGGUGUAUAAGGGGCUUUGAAGCUGGAAGGCUCAAUCCUUCGAUUCUCCUGUCUGUCUGUGUAUACAUGGUGUGUAAUUCGGAAGCAAGAAAGCAAUGUCAGGGC